rnacentral:rRNA from 1 species
UACGGAGGAUGCAAGCGUUGUCCGGAAUUAUUGGGCGUAAAGAGCGCGCAGGCGGUCUAUCAAGUCAGAUGUGAAAUAUCCCGGCUUAACCGGGAGGGGUCAUUUGAAACUGGUAGACUAGAGUACAGCAGAGGAUAGUGGAAUUCCCGGUGUAGUGGUGAAAUGCGUAGAUAUCGGGAGGAACACCAGUGGCGAAGGCGACUAUCUGGGCUGAAACUGACGCUGAGGCGCGAAGGCUAGGGGAGCAAACAGG